GAUCUGGUGGUGAAAUGUAUCCCACCUACUUUUCAUUAGAAUAAAGGAGUGCUAUCUGAAUAGGAGUCCCUGGUUCGAGCCCAGGUCAGGUCU